rnacentral:tRNA from 1 species
UCCCUGAUGGUCCAUUGGUUAAGACUGCGGGCUUCCAAUGCAGGGGGUGUGGGUUCAAUCCCCGUUCAGGGAA